AUUGAACGCUGGCGGCAUGCUUUACACAUGCAAGUCGAACGGUAACAGGCCGCAAGGUGCUGACGAGUGGCGAACGGGGGAGUAAUGCAUCGGAACGUGCCCAGUCGUGGGGGAUAACUACUCGAAAGAGUAGCUAAUACCGCAUACGAUCUAUGGAUGAAAGCGGGGGACCGUAAGGCCUCGCGCGAUUGGAGCGGCCGAUGUCAGAUUAGGUAGUUGGUGGGGUAAAGGCUCACCAAGCCAACGAUCUGUAGCUGGUCUGAUAGGACGACCAGCCACACUGGGACUGAGACACGGCCCAGACUCCUACGGGAGGCAGCAGUGGGGAAUUUUGGACAAUGGGCGCAAGCCUGAUCCAGCAAUGCCGCGUGCAGGAAGAAGGCCUUCGGGUUGUAAACUGCUUUUGUAUGGAACGAAACGGCUCUGGUUAAUACCCGGGGCUAAUGACGGUACCGUAAGAAUAAGCACCGGCUAACUACGUG
rnacentral:rRNA from 1 species